rnacentral:misc_RNA from 1 species
CCCACACUGGAGGUACGUUAGGGUUCCACCUGAGCUCUUCCUUCUUCCCCCUCUGCUCGUCUACCAUUUGAUUCCUCGCCGCCUGUGGCUUCUUCCCCGUUGUCAUGGAGUCGGGCAAAGGUCCUGUUGUCGCGGACGAUUAAGCGAUUUGCUGGCUGCAGCCAGGCGUGCAAGGGUCGUCGUUGCACGCAAAGCCGCCUUCGUUGCUAGUGCUGCCGCCGAAGCUGCCAAUGAUGCUAGUGCGACGGCUUUGGAGAUGAUUGUUCAAAUUGAGAAGGCGAACGCCGAGGCUACCAAGAAAGCUCCUAGACCUCUGCGUCGUGAUGUAUGAUAUGCAUUUUUCUUCGAUCCUAAAAUUACUUUGUCAUUUGAAAUAGG